ACGAACGCUGGCGGCAUGCCUCACACAUGCAAGUCGAACGAAGGCUUCGGCCUUAGUGGCGCACGGGUGCGUAACGCGUGGGAAUCUGCCCUUUGGUUCGGAAUAACAGCUGGAAACGGCUGCUAAUACCGGAUGAUGACGAAAGUCCAAAGAUUUAUCGCCAGAGGAUGAGCCCGCGUUGGAUUAGGUAGUUGGUGGGGUAAAGGCCUACCAAGCCGACGACCCAUAGCUGGUCUGAGAGGAUGAUCAGCCACACUGGGACUGAGACACGGCCCAGACUCCUACGGGAGGCAGCAGUGGGGAAUAUUGGACAAUGGGCGCAAGCCUGAUCCAGCAAUGCCGCGUGAGUGAUGAAGGCCCUAGGGUUGUAAAGCUCCUUUACCCGGGAAGAUAAUGACUGUACCGGGAGAAUAAGCCCCGGCUAACUCCGUG
rnacentral:rRNA from 1 species